AGAACACUAUUCACCCCUCCUCUAGUGUUCAAGUGUAUCUAUUUCAGAUCCUACAUACUUCAGCAUUUGGGUCUACAACAACUUCAUUAUUUGGUACAUCUGGAACAUCAUUUGGGUUUUCGACAAGUACACCAGCUUUCGGUGCACAAAGUACCUCUCUCUUUGGAACUUCAACUUCUCCAUCAUUUACGAUGACUGGCCCUACUUUAGCUGGAUCGUCGACUUCGUUUGGUUCAUCUACACCAUCUUUUGGUAGUAAAAGAUUUGGAACUACGUCAUGAGACUUUGGCAUCCAGAACUCCACCUAUGGUUCUCAAACAACAAAUUUCACAUUUGGUGUUCAACAAGGGGGUGGUAGGAUGGCGAAGCAUACAUCAACACUUACUGAAGAUUAGACAAUAAACAGCCUAAUAUUUAUCUGCAGUCAAUAUCUAUGAUGCCUGUGUACAUAGAUAAGAGUCAUGAGGAGCUUAGAUGGUUGGACUACCAAUGCGGAGAUAAAGGAGGCCCAAAUUCUGCUGGACAACAUGGAACUACUGGUAGUUUUCCCUCGCCAGAGAAAGGAAUCCCAAGUGACUUCGAGGAGGUGUCGUGAUUGGUAUUCUGAUAGUCUUUCGGAUUUGAAGACUCGGGAUUAGGUGGAAUUGAGGAUUGUCAAAUUCUUAGAACGAAGCAAAGAAUAAUUCGAGAUUGUUAUUGUCUUCUAGGUGACGGUUAAAUAAAGUCUUUAAUGUUUAGAUGAUGAAUUGAGAGUUUGUAAUAAUGAGAUUCUUUCUUUAGGUUGAGAUUUAUUUGGAGUUGAGGAAUAUUUAUUUUUUUAUCAAGUUAAUUGGCUUUAGUUGACUUUUGGGGUUAUAGAGAAUAAUUGUUGUUGGUUUUAGUUCAAUGAAGAGAUUUGUUUUAGUGUUC